rnacentral:lncRNA from 1 species
CGUGGAUAGUUGAAUAAUGGUAUCUAUAUUGUAUCUAGGCCUAAUAUAAUAUAUAUUUUUAAAAAAUAUUCUAGAAUAGAUGAUGUCACAGAUGCCUACGUUUGAUAUUGUAGACUAGGUCAUAUCAACAAGAAUAGGAUGAACAAGUUAGCUCAAGAAGAGAUUCUUAAUAAAAAAGAUUAUGAAUCAUUACCUAUUUAUGAGUCCUGCCUACUUGAAAAAAAUGACCAAAUCAUCUUUUACUGAAAAAAAUGAAUGAGCCA